AAAUUGAAGAGUUUGAUCAUGGCUCAGAUUGAACGCUGGCGGCAGGCCUAACACAUGCAAGUCGAACGGUAACAGGAAGCAGCUUGCUGCUUCGCUGACGAGUGGCGGACGGGUGAGUAAUGUCUGGGAAACUGCCUGAUGGAGGGGGAUAACUACUGGAAACGGUGGCUAAUACCGCAUAACGUCGCAAGUAAUACCGCAUAACGUCGCAAG
rnacentral:rRNA from 1 species